rnacentral:rRNA from 1 species
AAUAUUGCGCAAUGGGCGAAAGCCUGACGCAGCGACGCCGCGUGGAGGACGAAGGUCUUCGGAUUGUAAACUCCUGUUAAGCGGGAAGAAACCCCAAUCUCUAAUAUAGAUUGGGUAUGACGGUACCUGCAGAAAAAGCACCGGCUAACUACGUGCCAGCAGCCGCGGUAAUACGUAGGGUGCAAGCGUUAUCCGGAAUUAUUGGGCGUAAAGGGCUCGUAGGCGGUUUGUCGCGUCUGCUGUGAAAACCCGAGGCUCAACCUCGGGCCUGCAGUGGGUACGGGCAGACUAGAGUGCGGUAGGGGAGAUUGGAAUUCCUGGUGUAGCGGUGGAAUGCGCAGAUAUCAGGAGGAACACCGAUGGCGAAGGCAGAUCUCUGGGCCGUAACUGACGCUGAGGAGCGAAAGCGUGGGGAGCGAAC